CUCUUUCACGAACUAUUUCAUUCUUCUUCUUCUACUUCUUUUUCCUUCUUCUUCCACGAAAACUAACAGAGUGAAACUGAAGUUGGGAAGGAAACCCUAACCCUCAAUAUAUCAAAUCUCUAAACUCUUUUUCCACUUCAAGAUGGCAAACCCCUAACCCUAACGAUUGUUAUUUUAUAAACAUGUAAUAUUGGUGGAUUGCAUGCGACGGGGAGUAGAAGUUCGAUGAAUAAAUCACCUGAUUUUGAUGAUUUUAUGGCUGAGUUUGGUGGUGGUAGCAUGGUUUUCAAUAAUGGGUUAAUGCUUAUUAUGAAUUUGGACCAUUGAAGUCCAGUAAGUUAGUUUUAUAACUGUUUCAUGUAUUCCAUGUGAGGUAAUAGUUAACACUUUUCCAUGCAAAAUAAUGUCAUGUUCUGUAGACUUCUUCAAUCUUCACUUUACUCUACAAACAACAACCAAGUAUUUUUCAGCCCUUACAACAUGUUCUGUGAUGAAAGAAAUAGGAAUAUACUACUGCUAUCAAUAAACUACUGUGACUAUUCUCUGCUUGGUAGCUACAUGGCUGCUACAUAUAUCAAUUCA